rnacentral:rRNA from 1 species
AUUGAACGCUGGCGGCAGGCUUAACACAUGCAAGUCGAGCGAGCGGCGGACGGGUGAGUAAUGUCUGGGAAACUGCCUGAUGGAGGGGGAUAACUACUGGAAACGGUAGCUAAUACCGCAUACCAUCAGAUGUGCCCAGAUGGGCUUAGCUAGUAGGUGGGGUAAUGGCUCACCUAGGCGACGAUCCCUAGCUGGUCUGAGAGGAUGACCACACACACGGGAACUGAGACACGGUCCAGACUCCUACGGGAGGCAGGAGUGGGGAAUAUUGAACAAGGGGCGCAAGCCUGAGGCAGCCAUGCCGCGUGUGUGAAGAAGGCCUUCGGGUUGAAAAGCACUUUCAGCGAGGAAGCGUUACUCGCAGAAGAAGCACCGGCUAACUCCGUGCCAGCAGACGCGGUAUUC